CAAUAGCGUAUAUUAAAGUUGCUGCAGUUAAAAAGCUCGUAGUUGCAUUUCCGAGGCAAGGGAUUAGUCCGACCUUUGGUGGGUAUUUAAUCCUCUUGCCUCGUCCUUGAGUGGUGCUUCUUGGUAUUAAGUUAUCGAGGAGAUAGCCGCUCAUCGUUUACUGUGAGAAAAUUAGAGUGUUCAAAGCAGGCUUAUGCCGUUGAAUAUAUUAGCAUGGAAUAAUAAGAUAGGACCUCGGUACUAUUUUGUUGGGUUGAGAACCAAGGUAAUGAUGAAUAGGGACAGUUGGGGGUAUUCGUAUUCAGUUGUCAGAGGUGAAAUUCUUAGAUUUACGGAAGACGAACUACUGCGAAAGCAUUUACCAAGGAUGUUUUCAUUAA
rnacentral:rRNA from 1 species